CGUGACGAUAGUUACGGAUUGCCAUUGCCGGGCGAGGCGGGGCGAAACCUCAAAAAUUAAAGGCCUUUAACCGUGCCCAUCGUCAGGCACGAAUUUAAAAUUCGAACGGUGUCGAGGGGCGGGCGGCGGGCGGGAGAGAGAAAUACGGACUUCCGAGAUCCGCGAAACCCGAACGAACGCACAGAUAUUCACAUUCCGAGUGUCUAUAAAAUAGUAUUUCGAGUUAACUUUUUGAAAAUCUAUUGUUGUUGUUGCUGCUGUUGUUGGUUUUGUUUUGUUUUGUUUCUUUUUCUUUUUUUUUUUUUUUUUGACAAUUUUUACUGUAAAAGUUUUCGUCGAACGCCAAACCGGCCCGGACAUAUUUUCGGGAAAACAUCUGGAGUUCGCGCCGUUCGUUCCUAAUAAAACGUUGUCGAACCGAAAAGUUUGUUGACACGUUAACGUUGCUCGGUACGUUUCCUACGCAAUAUAAAGCAAUAUGAUAAUAUAUUGCGUGCGCGCGGAUUUUCACGGCUAAACGGAGGAAAAAAACCGCGAACGAACAAAACAGAAUAUUAUUGAGAUUUUUUUUUUUUUUUUUCGGCCGACCGUAAACUGCGCUCCCGCCCGGCCGAUGGUUUCUUCGCGAAUUACCGGAACGGC